GACGAACGCUGGCGGCGUGCUUAACACAUGCAAGUCGAACGGAAAGGCCCUGCUUUUGUGGGGUGCUCGAGUGGCGAACGGGUGAGUAACACGUGAGUAACCUGCCCUUGACUUUGGGAUAACUUCAGGAAACUGGGGCUAAUACCGGAUAGGAGCUCCUGCUGCAUGGUGGGGGUUGGAAAGUUUCGGCGGUGGGGGAUGGACUCGCGGCUUAUCAGCUUGUUGGUGGGGUAGUGGCUUACCAAGGCUUUGACGGGUAGCCGGCCUGAGAGGGUGACCGGCCACAUUGGGACUGAGAUACGGCCCAGACUCCUACGGGAGGCAGCAGUGGGGAAUAUUGCACAAUGGGCGGAAGCCUGAUGCAGCAACGCCGCGUGCGGGAGGACGGCCUUCGGGUUGUAAACCGCUUUCGCCUGUGACGAAGCGUGAGUGACGGUAAUGGGUAAAGAAGCACCGGCUAACUACGU
rnacentral:rRNA from 1 species